rnacentral:rRNA from 1 species
UACGUAGGGGGGCAAGCGUUGUCCGGAAUCAUUGGGCGUAAAGAGCGCGUAGGCGGUCCGGUAAGUCCGCUCUGAAAGUCCGGGGCUCAACCCCGGGAGGCGGGCGGAUACUGUCGGGCUAGAGUCCGGAAGAGGCGAGUGGAAUUCCUGGUGUAGCGGUGAAAAUGCGCAGAUAUCAGGAGGAACACCAAUGGCGAAGGCAGCUCGCUGGGACGGUACUGACGCUGAGGCGCGAAAGCGUGGGGAGCAAACAGG